UAACGAAGAAUUAAUGUAAGUACAAUAUUAUAUCAUUCAUAUUUUCGAAAUUCUAUGUAAAUUAUUUGAUUUUAGACCUGAAUUGCGGAGUGGGGAUACUCGGCUUCGCGAGACAACAACAAAGUCGGACCGUCGAACGACUUUGACAGUUACUGCUUCAGUCUUGCCUCGAAUUUCGACGAGUACACAUCGCAGAUCUCCCAGUACGCAUUCUCCGCAAGUAAUAACGAAGAGUUAAUACUUGAAUUGCGGAGUGGGGAUACUCGGCUUCGUGAGACGACAACAAAGUCGGACCGUCGAACGACUUUGACAGUUACUGCUUCAGUCUUGCCUUGAAUUUCAACGAGUACACAUCGCAGUUCUCCCAGUACGCAUUCUCCGCAAGUAAUAACGAAGAGUUAAUACUUGAAUUGCGGAGUGGGGAUACUCGGCUUCGUGUGACGACAACAAAGUCGGACCGUCGAACGACUUUGACAGUUACUGCUUCAGUCUUGCCUCAAAUUUCGACGAGUACACAUCGCAGUUCUCCCAGUACGCAUUCUCCACUUGAAUUGCGGAGUGGGGAUACUCUCCCACCCGUGACGAAAACAAAAUCGGGCUGUAGACCAAUUUUUAUAAUUACUGACUCAGUUUUACUUUGAAUUUCGACGAGUACGCAUCGCAGUUCUGCUAGUAUGCAUUCUCCACCUGAAUUGCGGAGUGGGGGUACUCGGCUUCGCGAGACGACAACAAAGUCGGACCGUCGAACGACUUUGACAGUUACUGCUUCAGUCUUGCCUCGAAUUUCGACGAGUACACAUCGCAGU